rnacentral:lncRNA from 1 species
AUGUCAUUGAUGGGGCCACAGCCACCUCCCCACCUUCCGACAGUGGAUUUCUUCAUCCAGGUAACUACCCACCUUCUAUUGCAUGCCUGGCACGCUGCUAACCACGCGUCACCUCUGAGGAGCUCACAGACCAACAUUCCUCUGGAGGAGGGAGCAGGUUUUGAGGAGGCCUAGGUUUGCAGUCUGCAGAGCUAUCUACAGGGCUGGUCCGAGACCCCUGAAAAGAAACCGGAGAAGCCUGCUGACAAAAGACUGGAAUUCUGGUAUCUCUUUUGUUUUCACCCAAGUCUGUGGCCACUGACAUUCCUCUUUUCCACCACGGGUGGAUAAUAAGCCCCCUUCUCAGGAAUCGAAAUGCUCUUAUACAUUUUAAUGUGACCUUAGACAGCGCUGUUCAGAAAUCACAGGCCCAUCUGACUACACUUGAGGUUGAAUUGAGCUAAUGGUAUUCACCUCAUCUUUAGAUGCAAAAUUGGAAGAUAAAAAGACCUUGAUGUGAAAAGCAGGGGGGGAUGUGAGGGAGGGGAGGUGGACGGGUUGCGGGGGGCAGGAGGGGGGAAGCAGAUUAGAGAUACUGCUUAAAAAUCACGUGAUUGUGCAUUGAUAACGAAAUGUCUCCUCUUUCCCAAAUCCCCCAUGGGCUCGAGAGAUGUCCUUAUUCUUUUAUUUUUAACGAUAGAAUCUUUUUAUUCCUGAGCUGGGGAAAUUUGAAUGUUGCUGCAUAUGUGGCCAGGAGAUACAUUGACCUUUAGCAAAUCUUAUUUUAAAAAACCCAGAUUGAACAGUUAUUGCAAUAUUUCAGCCCUGUAAGAUGAAAAGAGAGAGAGAGAGAGAGGAGAGGAGAGAGAGAGCGCCUUCUUCCUCCGUAAUCAGAUGUGGAUUAAAUUUAUUAAAGAUGCUGUGUCUCCUUUUAAAUGACUGGCAACCCUCUUUCUGAAUUAUCAGGAGCUGGCUGGAGACAUGGCAC